UUAGAGCUAGCUCGAGCACACAGUUUAACACCCAUAGUGGUUGAGGUGGAUGCUACAGUCGUUCUCCAACUCUUACAGUCUAGGGCAUCUGGGAUAUGGGAGGUGCAGCAUUUGAUCAUGCGCAUUGUGCAGCUCCAACAGGAAUUAGGAUCGAACGUACGACAUAUUUUUCGAGAGGCUAAUGGAGCGGCUGAUCAUCUUGCGAAGGAUGCCGCUUCUCGCCAGUUGACUCGAGUUAUGUAUCAGGAGGACAUUACGGGAGUACUGCGAGGCAUUAUCCGACUUGAUAAAAUGGGCACUCCAUACCUUCGCCGGUGAGCUUGAGAUCGGGCAUUGGGGAGAGAUUGGUGAGGGCACUACGGAGUUGUACUAGUGGGCUGGGCAUGUCUACAGGCCAAAUUCUACUUACUUUCUAGGCUCAAUAGAGUUGUGUUGUAUAUUUUUUAGUGUUAAUCACUAAUGUUGCACAUAGAUUAGAAUUUUCUUUGACUGUAAAGGGAGUAAGUACUCCUUGUUUACCGCUUUUCAAUUGUCACUCUAUAAUUUUUUCGAGUUAAUAAACAGGUAGGGGUCCGCCAAACCCCCCGCCUAGGCACAGGCGGCUUUCCCC